CAACAUCAAAACGGUAUUUUUUGAUGAUUUUUUAAGGUUGCACUUGAUUCUACCGUUUGAGGUUGCAACCUUAUGGGUGUGUUUAAUAACAAGAAGUUGCUCAAGUGAGAAGUUACCUAUUAAAAUUAUUGUUCUUCCUAUGCGUUUGAUAAAAAAGGGACGGCAACGAGAGAAGUUCUACUUUACUGUUCAUGUUUUAUUUUUUAUACGUAAAAAAAAGUUCCGACAAAAAGGUCGGAACUUGAAAAUGGAAGUUUAUAAAAACUUUUUUUUUUGAGAAGGAAGUUUAUAAAAACUUUUGUCCCCGAUAAAAAAUGCCUCCUCCACCAUUGAGAAGCAGUACGCACAGAGCCCCCCUCUCCACCAUCUCUCACACCGAUUUUUAUCAAGAGCCCUCCUAGCCAUUGAGAAGCGGUGGACAGAGAUUUUCAUCAAUAGGUCGAGCUCCAUUGUUCCUGGGUUUUUUCGGUUCACCAACCUCCCAUCUGCCAUUAACAUCAGAGCCCCAGAACACAGUGUUGUGCUGGAUUAUCUGUGUGCUCAAUAAUUUGUCGCUCUAUUCUCGUGGAGUGAAGAGUGAGGUUGCAUGAUUUCAAUAUAGUUAUUGAGAGAGAGGGGUUUGACUGAACCAAGUUUUCUAUGAAUAACAGUUCCAGAGAUGGGGUGACAUGAUCUCAAUAAGUUUUCAAUGAAUAACAGUUCCAGAGAUGAAUAGACUGCAUCAUUUUAGUAUGGCUUGAUUCCUUGUUUCCUUUGUGAAUAGACUGAACCAAGUAUUUGGUUCGUUGUAUUUGUAUGUAUUUUCUUCUAGAGGAUAAGGGGAUUCAAUGUCAUUGUGUGGUUGUGGUAAAGUUUCACUCUUUUAUUUUGGCGUUAGUUAUUUUCUUUCUCAGAAUGUAAAUAUGGUGAUAUGUAAAUGGUUUCAUCUUCAUUUAGGUUGACGUUGGUUUGGACUU